UACGGGGGGGGGUAAGCGUUGUUCGGAAUUACUGGGCGUAAAGGGCUCGUAGGCGGCCAACUAAGUCAUACGUGAAAUCCCUCGGCUCAACCGGGGAACUGCGUCCGAUACUGGCGAGGCUUGAAUCCGGGAGAGGGAUGUGGAAUUCCAGGUGUAGCGGUGAAAGUGCGUAGAUAUCUGGAGGAACACCGGUGGCGAAGGCGGCAUCCUGGACCGGCAUUGACGCUGAGGCGCGAAAGCUAGGGGAGCAAACGGG
rnacentral:rRNA from 1 species